UUGUAAGGAGAAGUUAGAAAGGGCACACGGUGGAUGCCUUGGCGCCAGGAGCCGAAGAAGGACGGGGCGAACACCGAUAUGCCUCGGGGAGCCGUAAGCAGGCGUCGAUCCGGGGAUUUCCGAAUGGGGCAACCCGCCAGCGUCAACCGCUGGCACUUCCACCUGAACCCAUAGGGUGGAUAGAGGCAGACCGGGGGAACUGAAACAUCUUAGUACCCCGAGGAGAAGAAAGCAACCGCGAUUCCCUGAGUAGCGGCGAGCGAAACGGGAUUAGCCCAAACCGCAAGGGGUUUCCCUUGCGGGGUUGUGGGGCGUCCGAUAUGGAGUGAGAAAAGCAGAAGGUAGGCAAAGUGGCCUGGAACGGCCCGCCAUAGAGGGUAACAGCCCCGUAGCCGAAACCUUCCGCUCUCCCGGACGGACCCCGAGUACCGCGGAACACGUGAAAUUCCGUGGGAAUCCGGGAGGACCACCUCCCAAGGCUAAAUACUCCCUGGCGACCGAUAGUGAACCAGUACCGUGAGGGAAAGGUGAAAAGCACCCCGGGAGGGGAGUGAAACAGAACCUGAAACCGUGUGCCUACAAGCAGUCGGAGUCCCUGUAAGGGAUGACGGCGUGCCUUUUGUAGAAUGAACCGGCGAGUGACGGUGGCGUGCAAGGUUAAGGCGAGAAGCUGGAGCCGCAGCGAAAGCGAGUCUGAACAGGGCGUCUUUAGUACGUCGUCGUCGACCCGAAACCGGGUGAUCUACCCAUGUCCAGGGUGAAGCUGAGGUAAAACUUAGUGGAGGCCCGAACCCACUGGUGUUGAAAAACCAGGGGAUGAGGUGUGGGUAGGGGUGAAAUGCCAAUCGAACCCGGAGAUAGCUGGUUCUCCCCGAAAUAGCUUUAGGGCUAGCCUCGGAUGAGAAAGUCGCGGAGGUAGAGCACUGAUUGGGCUAGGGGCCUGUCAAGGGUUACCGAACUCAGUCAAACUCCGAAUGCCGUCGACUUGUUAUCCGGGAGUCAGACUGCGAGUGCUAAGAUCCGUAGUCGAAAGGGAAACAGCCCAGACCACCAGCUAAGGUCCCUCAGUGCGUGUUAAGUGGGAAAGGAUGUGGAGUCGCAUAGACAACCAGGAUGUUGGCUUAGAAGCAGCCACCAUUGAAAGAGUGCGUAAUAGCUCACUGGUCCAGGGACUCUGCGCCGAAAAUGUAACGGGGCUAAACACGCCACCGAAGCUGUGGAUGUCUAUAGACAUGGUAGGGGAGCGUUCCCAGGGCAUCGAAGUCGCUUCGUGAGAAGCGGUGGAGCGCUGGGAAGUGAGAAUGCCGGUAUGAGUAACGAAAAGAGGGGUGAGAAUCCCCUCCGCCGUAAGCCUAAGGGUUCCUGAGGAAGGUUCGUCCGCUCAGGGUUAGUCGGGACCUAAGCCGAGGCAGAGAUGCGUAGGCGAUGGAUAACAGGUGGAUAUUCCUGUACCACCUUCCGCCGUUUGAGUGACGGGGGGACGCAGGAGGGUAGGAGAGCGCGCUGCCGGAUAUGCGCGUCCAAGCGGUGAGGCUGAAGGAAGAGGCAAAUCCCUUCCUUCAAGGCUGGGCCGUGAUGGCGAGGGAACGUAACAGUACCGAAGUCUUUGAUCUCACACUGCCAAGAAAAGCCUCUAGCGAGGCGGAAGGUGCCCGUACCGCAAACCGACACAGGUAGGCGAGGAGAGAAUCCUCAGGCGCGCGGGAAAACUCUCGUUAAGGAACUCGGCAAAAUGACCCCGUAACUUCGGGAGAAGGGGUGCCCCGGUAGGGUGGGUUUUACCUGCCCGAGGGGGCCGCAGUGAAGAGGCCCAAGCGACUGUUUAGCAAAAACACAGGUCUCUGCGAAGCCGCAAGGCGAAGUAUAGGGGCUGACGCCUGCCCGGUGCUGGAAGGUUAAGGGGAAGGGUUAUCCGGAAACGGAGAAGCUCUGAACCGAAGCCCCAGUAAACGGCGGCCGUAACUAUAACGGUCCUAAGGUAGCGAAAU
rnacentral:rRNA from 1 species